rnacentral:rRNA from 1 species
GACGGAGGAUGCAAGUGUUAUCCGGAAUCACUGGGCGUAAAGCGUCUGUAGGUGGUUCGAAAAGUCCACUGUUAAAAAUUGAGGCUUAACUUCAAAGAUGCCGUGGAAACUUUCAAACUAGAGUAUGGUAGGGGUAGAGGGAAUUUCCAGUGGAGCGGUGAAAUGCGUAGAUAUUGGAAAGACCACCGAUGGCGAAGGCACUCUACUGGGCCAUUACUGACACUGAGAGACGAAAGCUAGGGGGAGCAAAUGGG